rnacentral:rRNA from 1 species
CCUACGGGAGGCAGCAGUGGGGAAUAUUGCACAAUGGGGGAAACCCUGAUGCAGCGACGCCGCGUGAGUGAAGAAGUAUUUCGGUACGUAAAGCUCUAUCAGCAGGGAAGAAAAUGACGGUACCUGACUAAGAAGCCCCGGCUAACUACGUGCCAGCAGCCGCGGUAAUACGUAGGGGGCAAGCGUUAUCCGGAUUUACUGGGUGUAAAGGGAGCGUAGACGGCAGCGCAAGUCUGGAGUGAAAUCCCAUGGCUUAACCAUGGAACUGCUUUGGAAACUGUGCAGCUAGAGUGCAGGAGAGGUAGGCGGAAUUCCGAGUGUAGCGGUGAAAUGCGUAGAUAUUAGGAAGAACACCAGUGGCGAAGGCGGCUUACUGGACUGUAACUGACGUUGAGGCUCGAAAGCGUGGGGAGCAAACAGGAUUAGAUACCCGAGUAGUC